rnacentral:tRNA from 1 species
AUUUAUAUAGUUUUAUAUAAAACAUUACAUUUUCAUUGUAAAAAUAAAAAAAAAUUUUUUAUAAAU